rnacentral:rRNA from 1 species
UACGUAGGGUGCGAGCGUUGUCCGGAAUUACUGGGCGUAAAGAGCUCGUAGGUGGUUUGUCGCGUUGUUCGUGAAAACUCACAGCUUAACUGUGGGCGUGCGGGCGAUACGGGCAGACUGGAGUACUGCAGGGGAGACUGGAAUUCCUGGUGUAGCGGUGGAAUGCGCAGAUAUCAGGAGGAACACCGGUGGCGAAGGCGGGUCUCUGGGACGGUACUGACGCUGAGGAGCGAAAGCGUGGGGAGCAAACAGG